rnacentral:rRNA from 1 species
AUACGUAGGGUGCAAGCGUUAAUCGGAAUUACUGGGCGUAAAGCGUGCGCAGGCGGUUUUGGAAGACAGUGGUGAAAUCCCCGGGCUCAACCUGGGAACUGCCAUUGUGACUGCAAGGCUGGAGUGCGGCAGAGGGGGAUGGAAUUCCGCGUGUAGCAGUGAAAUGCGUAGAUAUGCGGAGGAACACCGAUGGCGAAGGCAAUCCCCUGGGCCUGCACUGACGCUCAUGCACGAAAGCGUGGGGAGCAAACAGGAUUAGAUACCCUGGUAGUCCACGCCCUAAACGAUGUCAACUGGUUGUUGGGGAUUUAUUUUCUCAGUAACGAAGCUAACGCG